rnacentral:rRNA from 1 species
GAUGAACGCUGGCGGCGUGCUUAACACAUGCAAGUCGAACGCACAUAUCUUUCGGGGUGUGUGAGUGGCAGACGGGUGCGUAACACGUAGGUGACCUGCCCUCGAGUGGGGAAUAACCAUUCUAACGGAUGGCUAAUACCGCAUACGUACGCUACGUCGAGUAGUGUAUAAAGCCUUUGGGCGCUUGGGGAUGGGCCUGCGGCGGAUUAGCUAGUUGGUGGGGUAACGGCCUACCAAGGCGAUGAUCCGUAGGGGGCGUGAGAGCGUGGCCCCCCACACUGGCACUGAGAUACGGGCCAGACUCCUACGGGAGGCAGCAGUGAGGAAUAUUGCACAAUGGGCGCAAGCCUGAUGCAGCAACGCCGCGUGCGGGACGAAGGCCUUCGGGUCGUAAACCGCUUUUCUGAGGGAAGAGCAAGGACGGUACCUCAGGAAUAAGUCUCGGCUAACUACGUG